rnacentral:rRNA from 1 species
AGUUUGAUCCUGGCUCAGGACGAACGCUGGCGGCACGCUUAACACAUGCAAGUCGAACGAGAGAAGAGAAGCUUGCUUUUCUGAUCUAGUGGCGGACGGGUGAGUAACACGUGAGCAAUCUGCCUUUCAGAGGGGGAUACCGAUUGGAAACGAUCGUUAAUACCGCAUAAUAUAAUUGAACCGCAUGAUUUGAUUAUCAAAGAUUUAUCGCUGAAAGAUGAGCUCGCGUCUGAUUAGCUAGUUGGUAAGGUAACGGCUUACCAAGGCGACGAUCAGUAGCCGGACUGAGAGGUUGAUCGGCCACAUUGGGACUGAGACACGGCCCAAACUCCUACGGGAGGCAGCAGUGGGGAAUAUUGCACAAUGGGGGAAACCCUGAUGCAGCGACGCCGCGUGGAGGAAGAAGGUCUUCGGAUUGUAAACUCCUGUUGUUGAGGAAGAUAAUGACGGUACUCAACAAGGAAGUGACGGCUAACUACGUGCCAGCAGCCGCGGUAAAACGUAGGUCACAAGCGUUGUCCGGAAUUACUGGGUGUAAAGGGAGCGCAGGCGGGAAGACAAGUUGGAAGUGAAAUCCAUGGGCUCAACCCAUGAACUGCUUUCAAAACUGUUUUUCUUGAGUAGUGCAGAGGUAGGCGGAAUUCCCGGUGUAGCGGUGGAAUGCGUAGAUAUCGGGAGGAACACCAGUGGCGAAGGCGGCCUACUGGGCACCAACUGACGCUGAGGCUCGAAAGUGUGGGUAGCAAACAGGAUUAGAUACCCUGGUAGUCCACACCGUAAACGAUGAUUACUUAGGGGUGGAGGAUUGACCCCUUCAGAGCCGCAAGUUAACACAAAUAAGUAAUCCACCCUGGGGGAGUUACGACCGCAAGGUUGAAACUCAAAGAAAUUGACGGGGGCCCGCACAAGCAGUGGAGUAUGUGGUUUAAUUGGACGCAACGCGAAGAACCUUACCAAGUCUUGACAUCCUACGACGAUGCUGGAAACAGUAUUUUCCUUCGGGACGCAGAGACAGGUGGUGCAUGGUUGUCGUCAGCUCGUGUCGUGAGAUGUUGGGUUAAGUCCCGCAACGAGCGCAACCCUUACUGUCAGUUACUACGCAAGAGGACUCUGGCAGGACUGCCGUUGACAAAACGGAGGAAGGUGGGGAUGACGUCAAAUCAUCAUGCCCUUUAUGACUUGGGCUACACACGUACUACAAUGGCGUUAAACAAAGAGAAGCAAGACCGCGAGGUGGAGCAAAACUCAGAAACAACGUCCCAGUUCGGACUGCAGGCUGCAACUCGCCUGCACGAAGUCGGAAUUGCUAGUAAUCGUGGAUCAGCAUGCCACGGUGAAUACGUUCCCGGGCCUUGUACACACCGCCCGUCA